UCUUUUGCCCUGUAAAGUAACAGAUUCCCAGAGUUCAAGGUUGAGGACAUGGACAUUUUGGGGAAGGUGGGUAUUUUUCUGCCUGCCAGAAAUUAAACAUUCUUCCACUUAGCAUGGCAUUGCCUUUGGGAUUUCAGGCUAUAACUACAACUAGCGAUUCUGCAUUCGUCUAGAUAUUUGUUGAGCACCUACUGUGCACCUGGUGCCAUGCUGAGUGUUACAACUGCAGCAGUGACUAGAACAAUCACCCUUGUGAAUGAGACACAGGCCCUCAAGCCUACCCUGCCCGCCCUACCUGUGGGCGCUGGAGCUUACCAUACAUAUCAAAGGCCCUCCUGGGCACCUGCCCCACUUUCUUUCCUGUGAGUGGCACAGUGUAGACUGCUUUCACCCAUCAAUCUUAGGGCCACUUUGAUUGCUGGGUUCCGAGGGUGGCCUCUGCAGGCACUCAGAGAUGGGAAGUCCCCUCUCUCAGGGCCGUUGGUUCUUGUACAGGCUAAGAACAGAGGUGUUGAGGCCACUCUGAAAGUCAACCAGAAAGUCCUGCUGCACAUGAAGGCUCUUCACCAUGACAGAUCACAGCGUGGUGAAGUCUGGCAUAACCUGGCCCUGGACGUGGCUCACUCCUUCCAGGUACCCAUCCCUGGGCUGGGCAAAUGCUGGUUGGUGACCUCCAAGCAGAGCUCGACUGUUGGCGAGAGUAAAAGGUACGGUCUGUUCUUUCCUAGCUGAGGUUUCCCCAAGCCCUGAAUGUGGACGGGGACAUUGUCUUCAGACAGAGUCACGAGGGAGCAUUUGACUGUGGCGUGGAUGCACGAGCUACCAUCAACCGCAACAUCACGUCCCAGGUCUCGGUCCAGCUGAAUGGAUCUGACUCCCACUCGGUGGUUUCCUUGCAGCUCAGACGUCCCCGUGGACCCACGUUUCCUCCAGACUUACAGGUGCAGGCGGCUGCCAGGCGCCACAGAGAGCGCGGCGUCAGCGGCUCCCUGUCUGUGCACGUGUCUGGCGAGGAGCUGGUUCUGCUGGAGGCCAGUGCGAGCCAGGACAGCCGGAGGAACACCCGGGGCUGGGGUAUGAGCGUCCUCCUACACCAGGAGGUCCUCAGAGCCCCCAGGGCUGUUCAGCUGCAGCUCUCCAGCAAGGUCGCCCCAGCCAGGAUCUGGCUGUUUUCCAAAGCCCUGCUGGACCAGAACACAGUGCAGCUUUUCCUCAAGGCCUCUGAGGAGCGGAGAGGAAGCCGGGUCCUGACCCUGCGGAGCCAAGCCCAGCACACAGUGGCCGCCUGGGCAGCCCUGCCCCGUCUUCUGACCGUCGUGGGGGUGCUGAAGCAGAAGGAGGUGCUCCGAGAGGGUGAGAGCCCGGGGGGCACUGUGGGAUCAUGGGCGAGCACUCUCUGUGGGUCCUCCACAUAGAUGAAACCCUGCACAUAUUCAGGUCCACAGAUGCUCUGUUCC
rnacentral:lncRNA from 1 species